GGAGAGUGGCGCUUCCGCGAUCUCUUCUUGGAUCUACCGUAACAUGGAUAUCCAGAGGUGUUCGCUAUCAACUAGAUGUUUUUUAGAGCAGAAUUUGCUGACGAUUUCAAAUACUUAUUUGGGGAAAGAAGAGGAGCUGCACUUUUCGCCACUGGCACUUAAAUUUUCCAUCUUUUGUUAAGCAGGGAGAGUUGGUAAAGUGGGUUUUUUUUAAGUUUUAUAACUGGAAAUGUUUGAAAAUCUUUGGCAUAUUUUUGGCACAUUUAAUUCCUUUUUAAAGCUGCCCUUAUUUACUUGGCAGGGGGAGUGGCUGGCUGGUACAGGGAUCACAUUCUGGACCUUGGUGUUAUAUCAGCAUCAUGCUCUAACCAUUGAGCAAGCUGGCCAUCCUCUAAAGCUGCCCUUUAUACAGAAAAGUCUGCCAUUACAGACUUAAGAAUCAUCUGGGUAUUGAUUAGAACAAAGUUGCCCAGGUGCCCUUAAAAAAUAAGGAAUUCCUGAAGGCAUUCAAUGUGGGCAGGUCUGUUAAGAAAGUAUGGUCCUUUGAAGUGCCUAUGAAGUCAAAAUUUGUCAUUACACUUAACAUUUUCUCACCACUCUCAAGUAGACAUGUCUUUAAAGAGAUCUAUAUUGGCUUUGAUUUCUAAUGUAAACAUUUGUAAUUAUCCUAACAACUCUGAGGUUUUUAUUUUUUCUGAAAGCCAAAACUCACCUAUAUUUGCAUGUUUAAUGUUUAUGAAUUAAAAGGUGAUUGUACA